rnacentral:rRNA from 1 species
UACGGGGGGGGCAAGCGUUGUUCGGAAUUACUGGGCGUAAAGGGCUCGUAGGCGGCCAACUAAGUCGGAUGUGAAAUCCCCAGGCUCAACUUGGGAACUGCAUCCGAUACUGGAUGGCUUGAAUUCGGGAGAGGGAUGCAGAAUUCCAGGUGUAGCGGUGAAAUGCGUAGAUAUCUGGAGGAACACCGGUGGCGAAGGCGGUUCUCUGGGCCUUACCUGACGCUGAGGAGCGAAAGCGUGGGGAGCGAACAGG